rnacentral:rRNA from 1 species
UUGCUUAAAAUUGACUUGGACAGGGCUUUUGAUCACCUUGAAUGGAACUUCAUAGUCUCUGCUCUUUCUCUCAAAGGGUUGCAUGGUCAUUUUAUAAACUUGGUUUACGCUUGCAUCUCUUCCCCAAGUUUCUCUGUCAUUAUCAAUCAACCUUUCGCCAACUUUCGUAGUAACAGAGAUAUAAGACAAGGAUGUCCUUUAUCGCCUUAUCUUUUUGUCCUUGCUAUUAAUGAACUUUCUUUAAGCUUACAUGAUGCUAUGGUCCAGAAUUGCUUGUUCGGGAUCUCUCUUGGUCCAGACUGUCCUCCUAUUCACUCAAUGCUUUUUGCUGAUGAUUUGUUGGUCUAUGGCAAUGCUACGGUGCAGGACGCUAACCAGAUGGCCAAUCUCAUCAACCGUUUCUGCUGUCUUUCCAGGCAGACUCCAAACUGGGACAAGUCUUUUCUUUUGUUUAGCGCCAACGUUUCCCAACCUUUAGCUCAACAAAUCACUCAUAUAUUCCAUGUUCCUCUUGUUGAUGGUGCAUCUACUCAUCUUGGCCACCCAUUAAUCCUCCCAUCUAAUGAUCAUGCUUCCGCUUAUAACUUUGUUUUUGAUAAAUUUAAGAAUAAGCUUCCCACUUACAAGGCAGAUAAACUAUCACAUGCCGCCAGACUUGAGCUUAUCACUUCUGUGUUUGCAUCCAUCCCUAUCUACUAUAUGUCCAACAUACUUUUUUCUAAAAAAAUCCUUACAAAGCUCACUGUUGUCAUUCAUAAUUUUUGGUGGGUAGGAGUCAGAGAGGAGGCUGGUUCAAAAGCUUUAUUCGUAAGGGCCUGGAAAGACAUUUGCACACCUAAAAAGGAGGGGGGUUGGGUAUCAAAAACAUGCUUGCAAUGA